CCUAAUACAUGCAAGUCGAACGAGACCUUCGGGUCUAGUGGCGCACGGGUGCGUAACGCGUGGGAAUCUGCCCUUGGGUUCGGAAUAACGUCGGGAAACUGACGCUAAUACCGGAUGAUGACGAAAGUCCAAAGAUUUAUCGCCCAGGGAUGAGCCCGCGUAGGAUUAGCUAGUUGGUGGGGUAAAGGCUCACCAAGGCUACGAUCCUUAGCUGGUCUGAGAGGAUGAUCAGCCACACUGGGACUGAGACACGGCCCAGACUCCUACGGGAGGCAGCAGUAGGGAAUAUUGGACAAUGGGGGCAACCCUGAUCCAGCAAUGCCGCGUGAGUGAUGAAGGCCUUAGGGUUGUAAAGCUCUUUUACCCGAGAUGAUAAUGACAGUAUCGGGAGAAUAAGCUCCGGCUAACUCCGUGCCAGCAGCCGCGGUAAUACGGAGGGAGCUAGCGUUGUUCGGAAUUACUGGGCGUAAAGCGCACGUAGGCGGCGAUUUAAGUCAGAGGUGAAAGCCCCGGGGCUCAACCCCGGAACUGCCUUUGAGACUGGACUUGCUAGAAUCUUGGAGAGGCGGGUGGAAUUCCGAGUGUAGAGGUGAAAUUCGUAGAUAUUCGGAAGA
rnacentral:rRNA from 1 species